CCCCGGGUAGCUCAAUGGCAGAGCAGACGCCUGUAGAGCGUAAGGUUGGGAGUUCAACUCUCCCCCUGGGGA
rnacentral:tRNA from 1 species